GUUUGGAGAAGACAAGAUGGCGCCGGUUACCUCGUGUCAUACCAAAGGGCAUUUUUGUUCACAAAUACCCGCUUAUUUUACGUUAUAGCGACUGGUUAGUUUUGGAAAUUAUAACUCAAUGGACGGAGAAAACGAUUCUGUAUUAAAGAGAAAAAGAUGUGCAGUUAUUGUGAUGUUAUUUGUUGUGAAAGACGCCCGAAAUUUCGCUACAUCGCAGUACUGGUUUAUAAAACAUUUACAAGCAACAGCAAUUGAACUAUAUGACAAAGAAACCAAUAUAUACAAGCUAAUCAAUUUCUUCUGUUUAAAGGUCAGUUUAAUUUUUAAUAAUUAGUUCAUUUAGUUGUAUAUUAAUACGAAGUACUGGAACAGUACGUAGUUUGAUGCCGAGUUUGAUUUGCUAUUUGUACUGUAGUCGGAAUAUUUAAGAUAAGGUAUGGAUAAACAGACCCCAACCCGUUUUCUAACAUUAACCAAUAAAUGUGUAAUGAACUAUUUGAGAAUUAAAAAGGUUAGGGGGGGGGGAAAUUUAAAAAUAUUGUAAGAAACAUUUCUACAGGGCUGUUUUAUAUGGAAAAGCAGGGUUGGCCCUCUUCGCAGGAUUAAUUUUGCUUGCGUUUAAUAUAUAAGGAAAUUUUAUCCUGCUUGCUGGGCUAGAAAUUGUUUACAAUGCACUCAAUUGGCUUUCCCGGGACAACUUUCAAAAUUAAUUUUUGCUUCAAAACUGACUAUUUUGUAAACAUUGAAGGGUCUCUGUAAGGAACGAAAUUAACCCAAACCAGAAACAAUCGAAACCGGAAAUUCCCACCUAAUUUCCUGCAUAAACAAAUAUAAAUUAUAUUGUUGAUGCUAGAUCACUGGCAUUUCAUUUAGAUAAAUAUCCUCCGAAUGUCAUAAGUCACAAGGUUGUAUACUAUUUAACUGCUAACAAUUUUGUAAAUUAUUCAAUAAUCUUAUUGCAUCAAUCUUAAUAAUCUUAAUCUCAAUUGCAUAAUCUUAAUCAUCUUCCUGAACAAUGCUGGUUUUGUUUGACAAAAACGAUAUUGCAUUCACUUUCUCAUUUGACAUCCGAUAUGGCUUCCACUAAAAUGGCACGCUUCGUGAUUUAAAAAAAAAAAUAUGCUCAUUUACAUGUUUCCAAAUCCCAAUUUAUGUGACUGCAUUUUAAUGGUUCAAAUAUUCAGAACUUUGUUCUUUCAAUCACAAGUAGUACAAGUAUUAUUGCAUUCAAUGGUAGUAUUUUAUUCGGCUUUAUAUGUGUAUUUUGUAUGUGUAUUUUUUAUAUUUGCAGGGCUCAAUAUAACAGCCGAUAGGUCUCCGGUCAAAAUGACCGGUCAACUUGAUUUUAGCUCGGUCAAAAUCUGUUUUCGACCGGUCACUAAUACUUGUGCACUAACAGUGAAAAAAAGUUAUAAGAAAUUUGUCUUGAGACAACUUUUAUUGCUUUGUCAUGUUUUAAAUGCUUAGUUAAGAUGUUAGCAGUCCCUAUAUAUAAAGGUGAACAGGUAACGUUAUCGUCGUUACCAGAGUUGUUUGCCGAUCUGAUUGUCGAGGUUUCAGUUUUGCCGCUGAAAAUCCUGAGGGCUUUUGUGUCGUGCGACUACUUUCGCAGCUACCUUCUUUACAUUUUCCAACAAGAAAAUUUUCUUCGCUGUAACCUAGUGUUUUAGCAAGCCACAGAGCAUAUGCAAAUUGAGUCUUGCAAAAAAUGCAGAGGUAUUUGAUGGUUUUCCGUCCACACUUCGUACAAUCCUUGAUCGCCCAAAUCCAGGCUAUAAGAGAGGCAUUAGUCAAGUGGUGCUACCCAAAAAACCCAGCUGAUUCGUUAGGCGACGAAGAGUCUGGAAUUUUUACUUGAAGCCAAUCACUUUUGAGAAAAAUCUGAGUAUUAAAACAACAUAAUUAAAACAAAGUCGAAACCUUUGAAGGUCAGCAUAUACUAUGUUUUUGUCGUACAUAACUCGACGUACUUACGGUGAAGUUGCGUACUUGCGAUGAAAUAUACAGUUUUUCUCGGACAAUAUUUCAGCAGACAUCAUAUGCUGAGGAGAAAAAACGAUUUAAAAUUCUAGGGAAAAGUAUGAAAAUGUGGCUGGUCAAAAUGACCGGUGAGGUAAAUAAGUGAACGGUCAAGAGGCAAUUUUGGCCGGCCAUUGUCUGUUGACCGGCUGUUAUAUUGAGCCCUGAUUUGCAGGGUUCGAAUUAAUUCUGAAAAAAUGGUUCGUGAAUUAAUUUUUUAUUUUAAGGAAAUUUUAAGGAAUUUUCAAGGAAUUUUCUGUAAUUGGAAGUUAACAAGUGGAAGCACUGCAAUUUUCAAAUAUAUAAUAUACAUCGCAAACUCGCAAAGAAAUAGAAUUUUGGGUGGAAUUAUAAUCGUUUUUAAGCACAAUCUAACAACAAUAUCUUCAAAAUAUAUGAUGGUUCAUUACAUUUACAAAGAACUGAAUUUAUUAUUGUAUAUUUUUAUCAAUUUGAGAGACUUUUGAUUCGUGAUUUUGAUCAAUUUCUAUGAAAUUGGGUUCGUGAAAAAUGAAAAUUGAUUCGUGAUUCACGAAUCACGAACCGUUAUUUCGAACCCUGAUUUGUAUGUGUAUUGAUUAGCUCGUAAUGUAUUAUUUGGAGCCUAUAUUUAAUUAAAUUGUGUGGCUUGCUAAUGUUUCAUAUUAAUGUUAUAUACAUUUCUUUAUCCUGAUGAUGACUGAAAUAUAGUCAAAAUGUUGGUAUUAAAAUAUAAAAAUGUUAUUGAUCUUCGGAGUUACACUUGUUUUAUACAUUUCUUUGUUGUACAUUUCACACCCUGCGUCAAUUUGACAGUCUUUGUUUAUUAUCCCGGUGAGCCUGCUUGCAGGCUAAAUUUUAGGCAAUUUUAUGCGGGGAAAUUAGGUGGGAAUUUCUGGUUUCGGUCGUUUCCGGAUUCGGUUGUUUCGGUUUCUGUUCUUUACAGAGACCCGCUAUUGAAGCACAUACUGCGAUUUGCAGUUGAGUUUAGAAACAGGAAGUUUUACCGCACAGUUUGAUCGUAAUGUUGUCAAGUGGAAAUGUGAGUGUUUUCAUGGGAAAUUUAGGCACUUUUGGCCAAUCACAUAAUUUCUGCGCCUUCUUUGCUAUGAUUGCCCAGAAGUGCCUAAAUUUCCAAUGAAAACAUUCACAGUUCCGCUUGACAAUAUUUGAGUUUGCCCUUGAUAAGUUGUGUGUUUCAACGAUCAAACUGCACGGUAAAACUUCCUGUCUCUAAGCUCAACUGCGCAAGUCACAGUAUUUGCAACCUUUUGUUUUGUCUCUUUUACAUAUGUAAUGUCAAGAACUAUAAAAAUAAUUGCAGAAAAGACUUCACACUAUCGAAAAUAUUUCAUCCUGGCAACCGGGCCAAAUUUUCACCUCCGUUGUCCAUAUAAACGCACAGGAAUUUUUAAAUUCUACUACACAGCGAGAUCUCGCUUAUCGGGCUGUCAAGUGGGCCAGCCCAGUCCAAUAUAAAAAGCUUUUAUGCCAGGGUGCAUUCCAUGUAAAGUCUACGCCGAAGAUACGCCAAUGUUAACUAUUGAUAGUAUUGUAAUGUGCCAAACUCACACCGAAGAUCUUCGGCUUAGGCCACUUAAAAUGCACCCUGGCCCCUAUGUCAAACAAAAAAUAUCUAAAACAAAACCUGACCCCCAACCUUGUUUCAUUUUGCAUCCACGCUAUGCCUUUGCCAAAUAUGCUGAUUUGCUGUUGCAAAAAACUGUUUUAUAUUACUACUUUACAAAAUGUAAUAAUUGGAUGCCAUACUUCAGUACGAUUAUUAGUUCGAUAUUAAUAAUUAUUUAUAAGCACUAUUAUACAAGAAAUGUCAACAAUGAAUUUUCCUUCAAUGGUUGCUUUUUAUUGGUCAAAAGUUUAAUAUUGUUUUGACAAGAGAAAUGUUUCUCAACAAUUUUCAGAAAGUUUUCGAAGACUUCUAGAAGGGGUCUGUUUUUAAUUGGGAUAUUCCAUUUAAAAGACGUAACCCCCCUAUCGAGGACAAUGGUUUUACCAUAUCUCUGAAGAAUUCCUGACAUAAAAGAGAUCUCCUGAAGAAUUCCUGUUAAUUAAAUAGCAUUUACCCCUGAAGAAGUCAGCAUUUACCCCUGAAGAAGUACAAUUUUUACACCUGACCCCUAAGGAAAUUGCAUUCGAAAUAACGAACCCCUGAAGAAUUCCACCAUAGACGGAUUUUCAUUUUUUUACUGAGGUGGUGCCAGAAAUUUUAGGGGGGGGUGAGCCGUGAGCAGGUGACUGAAGCAACACAAAGUGUCACCAAACCCCAGUAAGGUCUAUAGUCUAGGGGUGGAGCACUAUAGAGCUGCGAGUGGGGGGCGGGGCUAGACAGCAGAAAACAAAGUAUCCCAGGAAAAAUUUGAAAAAAUCAUGAUUUCUAGCAUUGAAAAAGUUUUCUGAAGUUGUCAUAUCAAUGGAUUUUUAAAGAUUAAAUCUAGGCAAGUCUAUUUCCUAAAAGAAUUAAAUUAAAGACUAAAAUAAUGUUCGUAAAAAUUCCAAACGUUCCUUGCAAAUAAGCUAUUUGCAUGGCAAGGCACUGCAGGGUAGCACCUCCCCCCCCCCCUCCGAAAAUCCGUCUAUGAAUUCCACAGGAGAAUUUGUUUACCCAUGAGGAAUUUGGGAGUUAAAAAGGGAGGUUCUGGAUAUUAAAUGGAAUAGCCCAAUUUUCUGGAAAAUUUCCUGGUUGUUUUCCCUGCAGCUUGUUUAUAAAUAUGAUGAUAAUUUUCCAGAAUUCUUGUCUGGUUCAAUAGAAAUUUUAUUUUCCAAAGUUUUAAAAUAAACAGAAGUGCAGAUGUACCCAAAACAGCUGGUUAAUUUUUACCCACUGGUAGCACUAAUCAGCUAAAGCUUUGAACCACUGGCCCCAGGGGCCAGUUGUUCAAAGCUGGGUUAGCUUAACCCUAUUUUAACAACUAAAAUUCAAAGCAAACUUCCUUUAUCAGUCGAAAGUGAUUAUUUAGAACUGAAUUUAUAAAAGUGGUGGGAAUUGAACCCGCGACUUUUGGGAUACUAGUCCAAUGGUCUGCCAAGUGAGCUAUGUGGUCAAGUGGGUUCGAGUUGAUGAUAUUUUGUAACCGAGUCCAGUUCCUUCGAUCAUAUCAUAGAAUACACUGAUAUCGAAAGAACUAGACUUCCAAAAUAUCAUCAACCGACUUGACCAUGUAGCUCAGUUGUCAGAGCAUUGGACUAGUAUCCCAAAGCUUGUGGGUUCGAUUCCCACCAUGGCCAAGCUAACUUUUCAGCUGGUGUGGAUACACAUUCAGAGUAACAUUGCAAACAUCACAAUUUUCAGAAAGUUUUGACGAUUAUUUUGGGGCAGUACACAGUGGUCCCCCAGCCUAGGGUUGUCUUUACCAAUGCCAAUAUAAAUAUUAUUGGCAUAGAGAAUUAUACAUUUGGCAUAAUAAUUUUGUAUGCUGCAUUCAUUCUAUUGACCAAUCAGGGAGAUUCUUUUGUAAAUACCCACACCAAUCGGAAGUCUGUAUUUUUAUGCUAAAACAGAAAUUGGCAUCCCAGAUACUAAAUUAUAUUCAAAUUUAUAUUCAAGUUUAGGGUAUGUUGCAGCUCUAUAUCUUGCUGUUGCAAGUUGCUUUGCGUUUGAUGUUUGUUCUGGGAUAAAAUAUUGAAUUAUACCUUAAAUUAAUAAUGUUUUGUGAAGUUUAGUUCAAAUUAAUAGAGAGAUGAGUGCAUAAAGUAUUUAGGGUAUUUUGAAGCUAAAUUUGUUUUAAAAUUCGUCAUUUUAGUGAAAUGAUGUGGAACACAAUGCGUUCUUUUCUACUCGUCCUGGUUGUUGUAAAGAGACAUCGGGCAUUGUAAUGAAUAGAUGAAAAUGUGUCGCUGGCAAACCUACACCAUGUGCAUUUCUUGGUGGAUAUCUUGGGCAAAUGUGCAAUGUGAUGAAUAUCUUGGGCAAAUAUCUUGUAUAAAUUGGUACAAUUACUUACCUUAAAUUACUAAAGAAGGAUGAUGUUUUAAGGUUAGUGGAUAUUUAUAAUAGUGAUAAAAUGGGGGUUCCCUGUGAAUAGGAACGAAGUAAGGCUGUCCAAUUAAGUGGAAACAAUAUUGCGGCGUGUAACAAUUUAAUCUGUAAAAAUUAGGGAUGAGCCGAUAAGGAAAAUUGCCGAUUACUGAGGCCGAUUAUUUAUAAGCCGAUUAUUGUAACUAAUCGGCCGAUUAAUCGGUACCCACCGAUUAUUUUAAAAAGCAAGCGAAAAAUCACAAGAUGACCAACAAUGAAGUUGUAAAUGCGGUUUUAUUGUUUACAAUACACACUUUGUAUUAGUUUUGGCAGAUUAUGGUGUAAAAACAAGACAUUGUCAGCUAUGCGGAGCUAGUCUGCUGCGUUUUGUUAGUGGAAGUGUUCCCAGCUUCACUUCGCUUGAGACAAAAGACACAGGUUUUGCAACAAAAUGUGAAAAUCUAUUCGCUUGUAUUCAGUAUUUUAGCAUGUGAUUGGCAGCUGCAGAAAAAGUCUUAUGGCCGAUUAUUUGCCGAUUAUCAGGCAAUAAUCGGCCGAUUACCGAUUAUUUAAAAAACGGCCGAUUAAUCGGCUUUGCCGAUUAUUUACCGAUUAAUCGGCUCAUCCCUAGUAAAAAUGAUACAUGUUUAGAACAUGCAAAAAGCAAAAAUUGCGGCAUAAAUAUAUCACGAAACAUGCUUCUUACAACUACAUGCUAUGUUUAUAGGAAUUUGAAAUGAUCUGAUAUCAGACAUUUGAGUUCCUUUGCAGCUUAAGGAGUUAAUCCUAUUUAUCUUGGAGAACAGCAAUUCAACUAUCUGGCUGGCUUGACAAAUAAAAUUAAGCAGGGGGUGCACUGGCAGUUAAUGGGUAACUAGACACUUGGGCAGUCUCAUUAUGAAGCAUAAAAUCGUCUGGUGUUGGACAGUAAAAUACUCAAGUAGAGCAUGCAUCAGGGCACAGUACAACCUAACGGUUUAAUUUGGGGUUUUUUUGUAGCAAAAUGGUUUAAGUUUUAUAUCUGAAUUAAUUAUUGUUUUUUUGCUUUGUUUUACAGAUCAUUACUGAACAUGCUGAUGAAAUAUUGAUUUAUAAAAUAUCAUGUUACCAAGAUGACAUGCCUUGAAGAGCAAUACAGGAGGGAAUACCUCUAUUUCUAAUCAAAUUACAACAAUACACCAAAGACAGUAGUUAUGAUCACGAAGCUAUGAAUUUAAAGAAAAUGUACCAAACGACAAAGACGAUGAUGAAAUUGGAUGCCUCGGAUGAAAUGAAAGGAUUGAUCAAAUGUCCAUGGUCAGCAGUGGAUAUUUGUGACUGUAAUAAAUGGAUACAAAGAAACUAUGAUGGAUAAAUAUGGCCCCGUAAUGGAUAUUCAGUUAAUGGACAUACAAAGGUCACAGAAAUGUCCACUCUCAGGUACUGUUCUUUCUUGUUUGCCUGCGAACAGGCUGUAGAUACUUGUAUCCAGGCCAUCCAUUGUUUGUUUUGUUGUUCUGGGUACAAUGAAAUCCGGCAUAAAUCCUGGCGGUCUAAAUGUUCAGUAUAUUUACACAUUCGAUCUAUUUUCUAUUCAGUAGACUUUGAUAGCUUGAACGAAAGUUUAUAACGAUGAUUUUCUUUGCAAAAACUGUACUUUCGAAAUUCGUCAGCUUCUGAAUUUGAAAACCGAUCUGAAAAAAAAAGAGGGAACAUUUGAGUGUAUGGUUAUUGCAUGGUUUCCCUCUGUGUAAAUAUACUGCCUUGGUGCAUACGCAUUACAAGCGCAGCAACACAAUAGUUUAGACAGGGUCAUGAGGCAGGAUGUGUGCAAGAAAAGCUUUGCCAGAGUUUUGUCUUUCGAAAUACAACGACGAUUGUAAAUUGCUGUUUGAUUCUUUGUAAUAUCUUGUCGCUUUGUUAGUAAAAAAGAAUUUGUCACUUCCCUCAUCUAAACCUUUAAAAAAAAACUGGCAUCGUUGGU